rnacentral:rRNA from 1 species
AUGGAGGAUUCCGGAGGGCAGAAUGGCAAUGCCCAUGCCCCUGCAGCUGCAGGCAACACCUCCGACGAGCCGCUGCAGCAGCAGCCAACUGGCGCCGACGAGGAGGAGCUCCUGUGGAAGCUGCGGAAGUACCUGGUGCUGAUGGCCAUCCUCGUGGCGGCCAUCACGUUCCAGGCGGGGCUGGCCCCGCCGGGCGGCUUCUGGCAGGACAACGACGAGCACGGCCACGUCGCCAGUGACAUCGUGAUGAGGUCCAGCUACCCCAGGCGGUACCUUGUCUUCUUCUACUUCAACACCACGGCGUUCGGGGCCUCGCUCAUGGUGCUCAUACUGCUCCUGCUGAGGGAGCUGACCCACAAGGCGGUCUGGCUCCGCGCGCUCCAGUUCGCCAUGAUUCUUGGCUUGCUGGGGCUCAUGGGGGCCUACGCCGCUGGGAGCUACAGGGAGGUGAAGACCUCUGUUUACAUCUGGGUGUUACUUGUCGGCAUAUUCGCGUAUGUCACACUUCAUGUGGUAUUCUUCAAGCAUCUGGCACCUAAGAAGCUGCAAGUUUUAUUAUCCGGUAUUAGUGAAAGUUGGAAGGAAACUCUGAGGCACAUUUUCAUGCCAUCAAAAACAGACAUUGCAACAGAUGUGCAAGAGGCGCCAGUCCAGAUGGAAGAAGUAGUAGACCUUGAAAGAAGUCGCAGCUUGGUUCUUGAUCUUGCAGAAGAAGAGAAGAGAAAAAUUGCAGAAGAGGCUGCAAAGGAGAGAGAGGAAAGGGAAAAUCUUGAAAGAAAUCGCAGCUCCUUACUGGUUCUUGCCACAUUGGUAGCAACAGUGACAUAUGUCGCAGGGCUAACCCCUCCAGGUGGCUUCUGGUCUGAUGGUGACAGUAACCACAUUGCUGGUGCUCCGGUGCUCCGAGACCAUUAUCCACGUCGAUUCAAGGCGUUCUUAAUCUGCAAUGCCACUGCUUUUGCUGGAUCCCUUGUCAUCAUCAUCAUGGUCCUCAGUCAAACAGCGAUGGAUUAUGUUGUUAAGUCAAAUGCUCUGCGGUUGUGUGUGAUAGUUAGUCUCUUUGGGCUUAUGGGGGCAUAUGCUGCUGGAAGUUGCAGGGAGGUACAUACAUCUAUCUAUGUCUUUGCCCUUGUUGCUGCAGUCUUGCUCUACCUCAUCAUUCAGUGUAUUGAACUUGCUUUGUCUAAGUUGGCAUGUAUUGCAAACACCAUCACACGUGUGAAAGAGAGAAAUAAAGAAAUGGUUCAGAAGGUGAGGGAUUUCAUCAAGGCCUUGUUGGAACCUGACAUGCAAGAUCAAUCAAACAACGGCACCCCAGGCACUGAUGUUAAGAAUGAUUUCCAGAAGUUGCGCACAUACCUUCUAUUGCUUGGCAUCCUUGCUGCCACAGUCACCUUCCAAGCUGGGAUGAAUCCACCAGGAGGCUUCUGGACAGAUAACAGUGAUGGGCAUAUUGCUGGUGAUCCAAUUUUGGAGGCCAUCAGUCCCAAGCGCUACAAGAUAUUCUUCUAUUGCAAUGCCACAGCAUUUGUAGCCUCUUUGGCCAUCAUCAUCAUACUCCAGAGCCAGUUGAUUACCAUUCAUGCCAUGAGGCGUCAUGUACUGCAAACAGCGAUGACACUGGUGCUCUUUGGUCUUAUGGGAGCCUACGUUGCUGGAAGCAGCAGGAAGUUCUCAACAUCCAUUUAUGUGUUCAUCCUAGUCCUCCUGGUUUUCGCCUAUGUUGUACUUCAUACUCUAUAUGUACCUCCCAUUAUCAAGAUAUGGUGGGAGAGCAUAAUAGGGGCUUCUUCUAGACCUGCUGAUACUCCAGAAGACAAAGAUUUGCGGAAGAGGCGGAAGUUUCUGAUAUUGCUCGCAAUUCUAGCAGCUUCUAUCACAUACCAAACUGGUAUAAGCCCACCAGGUGGCUUUUGGACUGAUAAUGAAAACGGCCACCGAGCAGGUUACUCGGUGUUUCGUGAUGAGUUCCGAGAACGCUAUAGGGUGUUCUUCUACUUCAAUGCUACUGCUUUCAUGGCAUCCCUGGCAGUAAUUCUGUUGCUUGUUAGCAAGAGGCUAUGCGACAAAGGUCUGAAGUGCUAUGCGCUGCGUGCAUGCGUACUAGCUGAUCUGAUCAGCCUCAUUGGUGCUUUUGCUACUGGAAGCUGCAGAAAAGUGUCAACAUCUUUCUAUAUCAUUCUCGUUGUUCUUGCAGUGUUUGUCUAUGUCAUAAUGCAAGUCCUGCUUCUGAAAUUUGCAAAAGAAAAGGUGAAUUGCUCGCUGCUGGGGCUGAUGUUCAAGUUCAAAGCCAAGCCUUCCGAGCACCAAGAUUCAUUAACGAAUCACACGACAAGCACAAGUGAUAUUGAUAGUAAGAGAACGGAGCACAAAUGGCGCAAAGAUUUGAUGCUGAUCGGAACUCUUGCAAUCACUGUCACAUACCAAGCCGGUCUGCUUCCGCCUGGAGGAGUUUGGCCUGAUGACAAGGAUGGCCAUUUUGCAAGUGACCCAAUCCUCCAUGAUACCAACCUAACACGAUACAAGGUAUUCUUCUAUUGCAACGCCACAGCAUUCAUGGCCUCAAUGGUCAUGGUCAUCCUCCUACUGAACAACACAAUAAGCAAGUACAAGAGAUCUCUCUUUGCCAUGAAAACAGCAAUGAUCUUGGACUUGCUUGGUUUACUUGGGGCAUAUGCCGCGGGCAGCUGCAGGAAGUUGAAGACAUCUGCAUACAUUUUUGCACUCGUCAUUGCAGUGAUCAUCUACAUCGUCAUUCAUGUCUUGUUGUCAUUUGACAAAGUGGCGCGGUUAGUGAAGGAGAAGGGGGAAAAGUGGGUGCAAUGUCUGAAAAGGUGCUUCAGUUGCAACUGA